UACGAAGGGGGCGAGCGUUGUUCGGAAUUACUGGGCGUAAAGGGCGCGCAGGCGGCUCUGAAAGUCAGAUGUGAAAGCCCCGGGCUUAACCUGGGAAUUGCAUUUGAUACUCUGGAGCUUGAGUACGGGAGAGGAGAGUGGAAUUCCCAGUGUAGAGGUGAAAUUCGUAGAUAUUGGGAAGAACAUCGGUGGCGAAGGCGGCUCUCUGGACCGUAACUGACGCUGAUGCGCGAAAGCGUGGGGAGCAAACGGG
rnacentral:rRNA from 1 species